rnacentral:misc_RNA from 1 species
AAUUUCAACCAGAGCAAUGAGGAUCCAUAACAAAAUAUUUUAGAAUGUUUCAAUGGAAUUCAUUUGUUUAAAAUUAAAAUAGACAACAUCAUUAUAGAUACAGUUUAAUGGGCCUAUCACCCAUUCUCCGAUACGUUUUGAUCGGGAUUCCAGUUGGAGUAACAUUUGUAGACACUGUUGGCUAUGUUGCUCGAGUUGAAGGAGUAUCUAUGCAACCUGCAUUAAAUCCAGAUAGUGAUAAAACUGAUUACGUCUUUCUAAAUCGAUGGAUUGUUCGAAAUUAUAAAAUACAACACGGUGAUAUUAUUUCAUUAACUUCACCAAAACGUCCUAAUCAAACUCUAAUUAAAAGAGUCAUUGGUUUAGAAGGUGAUGAAAUUGGAACAAUAGGCUACAAAUUACCUUAUCUGAGAGUUCCAGAAGGUCAUUGUUGGGUAGAAGGUGACCAUACGGGUCAUUCAGUAGAUUCCAAUACUUUUGGUCCUGUAUCACUUGGUUUGAUAACAGCUAAAGCAACGUACAUUAUUUGGCCUCCAAGUAGAUGGCAAUGUUUAAAUCCAGCCUUACCUAAAAACAGAAAACCGAUACUAAUUUCGAAACAAAAAGAAACUCACUGACUGUCAAAGUUUAAUGUGAUACAAUGAGAGCAGUAAACUUUGUACAUCGGCUACAAUGGGAAGUACCUGGGAAUAUUUUUCGACAUGGCAUAGCUAUAGGUGAUGUUGAUAAUGAUGGUGAUAAUGAAUUAGUUGUUGGUACAUCUGAAGGAGAGCUUUAUAUUUUUAAAGUAAAGAUCUGAACACUGAAAUCUGGCAUAAAACUACUGGACUAGGUUUGAUUACUUGUGUUGCUAUUGGAGAUAUCUUCAAUUAUGGUAGAAAUGCUUUAGUAGCUGUUUGUGGUGAUGGUUGGGUA